AGUGAACGCUGGCGGUAGGCCUAACACAUGCAAGUCGAACGGCAGCACAGUAAGAGCUUGCUCUUACGGGUGGCGAGUGGCGGACGGGUGAGGAAUACAUCGGAAUCUACUUUUUCGUGGGGGAUAACGUAGGGAAACUUACGCUAAUACCGCAUACGACCUACGGGUGAAAGCAGGGGAUCUUCGUACCUUGCGCGAUUGAAUGAGCCGAUGUCGGAUUAGCUAGUUGGCGGGGUAAAGGCCCACCAAGGCGACGAUCCGUAGCUGGUCUGAGAGGAUGAUCAGCCACACUGGAACUGAGACACGGUCCAGACUCCUACGGGAGGCAGCAGUGGGGAAUAUUGGACAAUGGGCGCAAGCCUGAUCCAGCCAUACCGCGUGGGUGAAGAAGGCCUUCGGGUUGUAAAGCCCUUUUGUUGGGAAAGAAAAGCAGCAGGUUAAUACCUCGCUGUUCUGACGGUACCCAAAGAAUAAGCACCGGCUAACUUCGUG
rnacentral:rRNA from 1 species